CUGCUGCCUCCCGUAGGAGUUUGGACCGUGUCUCAGUUCCAAUGUGGGGGACCUUCCUCUCAGAACCCCUACGCAUCGUCGCCACGGUGGGCCGUUACCCCGCCGUCUAGCUAAUGCGCCGCAUGCCCAUCCUCUUCCGAUGAAUCUUUCCUCGAUCUCGGAUGCCCGAAACCGAUAUACGCGGGAUUAGCCUCCCUUUCGGAAGGUUGUCCCCCUGAAGAGGGCAGGUUGCAUACGUGUUACUCACCCGUGCGCCGGUCGCCGG
rnacentral:rRNA from 1 species